rnacentral:rRNA from 1 species
AGUGAACGCUGGCGGUAGGCCUAACACAUGCAAGUCGAACGGCAGCACAGGAGAGCUUGCUCUCUGGGUGGCGAGUGGCGGACGGGUGAGGAAUACAACGGCAUCUGCUCUGUCGUGGGGGAUAACGUAGGGAAACUUACGCUAAUACCGCAUACGACCUACGGGUGAAAGCAGGGGACCUUCGGGCCUUUCGCGAUUGAAUGAGCCGAUGUCGGAUUAGCUAGUUGGCGGGGUAAAGGCCCACCAAGGCGACGAUCAGUAGCUGGUCUGAGAGGAUGAUCAGCCACACUGGAACUGAGACACGGUCCAGACUCCUACGGGAGGCAGCAGUGGGGAAUAUUGGACAAUGGGCGCAAGCCUGAUCCAGCCAUACCGCGUGGGUGAAGAAGGCCUUCGGGUUGUAAAGCCCUUUUGUUGGGAAAGAAAUCCAGCUGGCUAAUACCCGGUUGGGAUGACGGUACCCAAAGAAUAAGCACCGGCUAACUUCGUGCCAGCCGCCGCAGUAA